UCUGCUUCAAGGUUUUGGGUUAUGGCUGAUGGUGAUGGUGAAGAUGGGGUAGAGGUUAUCUCCAUAUCUUCGUCAUCUUUCUUUGGAUCAGUGUAAACUGGUCUGGGGAUAUUGCUUUGGUAAUCAACAUUCUGAAGUGUAUUUGGAACAUCAGAUGUUGAAAAUCUGGGUUGAGUUUGAGAUGGAAUUGGUUCUUUGUAAGGAGCAUAGAUAACA
rnacentral:lncRNA from 1 species